GCUUUUUGUUCUUCAAGCCAUGUCACGGCUGAAGGUCCUUCUUGAACAAGGACUUGAUAUCUUCUCAACCCAAAAUUGAUUCACUCACAUUCCCUUGAACCGUGAAACCAAGAGAGGAAACUGGUCAUCAUCCCCACCAUCUAUUUAGGCGUGAGAUAGAGAACAAACAGAAACAAAUCAGUUGUACCUCAUUUAACAAAGAAAAAUCUGAAACACUAUUAUAUCCUCAUCUUUCCCUAAGAACGGUGAUCUCCACUAGGGGCAGAACCAAUUUCUCACUUUCAAGUUCAUCUCUUCCCAUGACCAGGCCGCGUGCAUUGGAGCAAGGGGAACAGAAGACUGAGCCAACUAGACACCCACAAAACUGUGAAAAAGAAUUACCAUCUAAGCUUCUAUUUUACUUACCUCACUGGUUCAAUUGAGUGGCAACAAUUUUGUUCAGCCGAGCCUCAAUCAUCCAACAAGAGUCGAUGAUUUCUCUUGCAUGCCGUGGUAAAUCUGCAUUGUUGGAGAGUGGGAGGAUGAGGAUCCAUUACGUAUCAAUUGGUGGGUGCCUCCUCAUAGCCGAUUGGAAAACCAUGGGUACAACCAAGAAGGUGCACAUAACUCUUAAUGAGUGAGCUGAAUUUUGGUGCUGUUGAUUAUUGCUUGGACCCAAGGAGGACGAAAGAGCAUUGGAAGACAUGAUUAUAUGGAUAUUUGUUGUUAUGUGCUGCUGUAUGGACUAUUACUGUUGCUGUUAUUUGAUGGAUGACUGUAUUAAAUUGAGUAGUGUGGAUUACUGUUAAAUUAUGAUUUUAUUACUGUUUUUAAGACUUUUGGGAUCAGCAAGUAUUUUGAAAACAAAUUCCGGAAACGCUUUGCGAAAAAAAAU